AUUGAACGCUGGCGGCAUGCCUUACACAUGCAAGUCGAACGGCAGCACGGGUGCUUGCACCUGGUGGCGAGUGGCGAACGGGUGAGUAAUACAUCGGAACAUGUCCUGUUGUGGGGGAUAGCCCGGCGAAAGCCGGAUUUAUACCGCAUACGAUCUACGGAUGAAAGCGGGGGCCCUUCGGGCCUCGCGCUUUUGUGUUGGCCGAUGGCUGAUUAGCUAGUUGGUGGGGUAAAGGCCUACCAAGGCGACGAUCAGUAUCUGGUCUGAGAGGACGACCAGCCACACUGGGACUGAGACACGGCAAAGACUCCUACGGGAGGCAGCAGUGGGGAAUAUUGGACAAGGGGGGAAAGCCGGAUCCAGCAAUGCCGCGGGUGGGAAGAAGGACUUCGGGUUGUAAAGCACUUUUGUCCGGAAAGAAAUAAAGGGACCUAAUACGGUCGGGGGAUGACGGUACCGGAAGAAUAAGCACCGGCUAACUACGUG
rnacentral:rRNA from 1 species